rnacentral:rRNA from 1 species
GAUGAACGCUGGCGGCGUGCCUAAUACAUGCAAGUCGAGCGGUAAGGCCACUUCGGUGGUACACGAGCGGCGGACGGCUGAGUAACACGUAGGAACGUACCCCAAACUGAGGGAUAAGCGUCGGAAACGACGUCUAAUACCGCAUGUGCUCUUCGGAGUAAAGCUACGGCGGUUUGGGAACGGCCUGCGCAUGAUUAGCUUGUUGGUAAGGUAAUGGCUUACCAAGGCGACGGUCAUUAGCUGGUCUGAGAGGAUGAUCAGCCAGACUGGGACUGAGACACGGCCCAGACUCCUACGGGAGGCAGCAGUAGGGAAUCUUCCACAAUGGGCGAAAGCCUGAUGGAGCAACGCCGCGUGCAGGAUGAAGGCUUUAGGGUCGUAAACUGCUUUUAUUGGUGACGAUUAUGACGGUAGCCAAUGAAUAAGGAUCGGCUAACUCCGUGCCAGCAGCCGCGGUAA